CCUACGGGAGGCAGCAGUGAGGAAUAUUGGUCAAUGGGCUUACGCCUGAACCAGCCAAGUCGCGUGAGGGAAGACUGCCCUAUGGGUUGUAAACCUCUUUUGUCAGGGAGCAAUUGGCGCUACGUGUAGCGUUAUCGAGAGUACCUGAAGAAAAAGCAUGGGCUAACUCCGUGCCAGCAGCCGCGGUAGUACGUAGGAUGCGAGCGUUAUACGGAUUGAUUGGGUGUAAAGGGUGAGUAGGCGGAAUGCCAAGUCAGCGGUAAAAUCGCGGGGCUCAACCUCGCUCCGCCGUUGAAAAUGGCGUUCUUGAGUGGGCGAGAAGUAUGCGGAAUGCGUGGUGUAGCGGUGAAAUGCAUAGAUAUCACGCAGAACUCCGAUUGCGAAGGCAGCAUACCGGCGCCCAACUGACGCUGAAGCACGAAAGCGUGGGUAUCGAACAGGAUUAGAUACCCGUGUAGUC
rnacentral:rRNA from 1 species